UUUUUUUUUUUAAGGAUUUUGAUUUUUGUGAGAUAAACCUCAGUGCUGGGCGAGAGCAUUUGCUGUUGAUGUGGCCAACCUGGGAUCUGUGGAGAGCAAAGGACGAGUCCUUCAGCUCCAUCUGCCCUCAGAGGAUGCUCCUGCCUCCGUGGACACACUGUGAGGGCUCGGCAGAGCGAGUGUGCAAGUCCCUCAUCAUUCCAGAUCAUUUAUACGGGGGAGGGUGGAAGAAGGAGCCCUGUUUGACUGCAGAGCCAGGAUAUUGAGAGCUUGAAUUAUUAUAUUUUAUAAAAGAAAGUCUCAAAAGAACCCCCAGCCCGCCGUGGUGAGUCCUGCACCAAAGCGCCGCUGCCACUGCCCUGGGGAUGGAUGUCGUGGCUUUUUGUAAUAAUUUUUAAGACUCUGAGUGACUGAAUUGCUGUAUGUGUCACUUUUUAUUUUUGAAAGAAUUAAUGUAUAAAUAGAGUAUCUUAAAAUAU